rnacentral:rRNA from 1 species
UACGAAGGGUGCAAGCGUUACUCGGAAUUACUGGGCGUAAAGCGUGCGUAGGUGGUUGUUUAAGUCCGUUGUGAAAGCCCUGGGCUCAACCUGGGAAUUGCAGUGGAUGCUGGGCAACUAGAGUGUGGUAGAGGAUGGCGGAAUUCCCGGUGUAGCAGUGAAAUGCGUAGAGAUCGGGAGGAACAUCUGUGGCGAAGGCGGCCAUCUGGACCAACACUGACACUGAGGCACGAAAGCGUGGG